CAGCAGCCGCGGGAAUACGAAGGGGGCUAGCGUUGUUCGGAAUUACUGGGCGUAAAGCGCACGUAGGCGGAUAUUUAAGUCAGGGGUGAAACCCCGCAGCUCAACUGCGGAACUGCCUUUGAUACUGGGUAUCUUGAGUAUGGAAGAGGUUAGUGGAAUUGCGAGUGUAGAGGUGAAAUUCGUAGAUAUUCGCAGGAACACCAGUGGCGAAGGCGGCUAACUGGUCCAUAACUGACGCUGAGGUGCGAAAGCGUGGGGAGCAAACAGGAUUAGAUACCCCCGUAGUCCCUGUCUCUUAUAC
rnacentral:rRNA from 1 species